GUGGGGAAUCUUGCGCAAUGGGCGAAAGCCUGACGCAGCCAUGCCGCGUGAAUGAUGAAGGUCUUAGGAUUGUAAAAUUCUUUCACCGGGGACGAUAAUGACGGUACCCGGAGAAGAAGCCCCGGCUAACUUCGUGCCAGCAGCCGCGGUAAUACGAAGGGGGCUAGCGUUGCUCGGAAUUACUGGGCGUAAAGGGCGCGUAGGCGGACAGUUUAGUCAGAGGUGAAAGCCCAGGGCUCAACCUUGGAAUUGCCUUUGAUACUGGCUGUCUUGGGUACGGGAGAGGUGAGUGGAACUCCGAGUGUAGAGGUGAAAUUCGUAGAUAUUCGGAAGAACACCAGUGGCGAAGGCGACUCACUGGCCCGUUACUGACGCUGAGGCGCGAAAGCGUGGGGAGCAAACAGGAUUAGAUACCCGUGUAGUCC
rnacentral:rRNA from 1 species